AAGUCCGUCUGGCUGCGACAUCUGUCACCCCAUUGAUCGCCAGGGUUGAUUCAGCUGACCUGGCUGGCUAGGCGGGUGUCCCCUUCCUCCCUCACCACUCCACGUGCGUCCCUCCCAAAGCCGUGCGCUCGGUCGAAGAGGAUGACCUCCCCCGCUAGAGGAGGACCGUUCUUCGGUCAAGGGCAUACGAGUAGCUGCGCUCCCCUGCUAGAACCUCCAAACAAGCUCUCGGAGCUAUUUCCAUGGGACAAAAUAGCUCAGGAGUCUGAUGUGAAACUCAGGUCCACCUUUGUCUUCAUAGCCAGCCCCAGAGGCU
rnacentral:snRNA from 1 species